rnacentral:rRNA from 1 species
UGGCCUACGGGAGGCAGCAGUGAGGAAUAUUGGUCAAUGGGCGGAAGCCUGAACCAGCCAAGUCGCGUGAGGGAUUAAGGCCCUAUGGGUCGUAAACCUCUUUUGUCAGGGAGCAAUGGCGUCCACGUGUGGGCGUAUGGAGAGUACCUGAAGAAAAAGCAUCGGCUAACUCCGUGCCAGCAGCCGCGGUAAUACGGAGGAUGCGAGCGUUAUCCGGAUUUAUUGGGUUUAAAGGGUGCGUAGGCGGAUUUUUAAGUCAGCGGUAAAAUGUCCGGGCUCAACCCGGGCCGGCCGUUGAAACUGGG